UACGGGAGGCAGCAGUGGGGAAUAUUGGACAAUGGGCGAAAGCCUGAUCCAGCCAUGCCGCAUGAGUGAAGAAGGCCUUCGGGUUGUAAAGCUCUUUUAGUGAGAAAGAUAAUGACGGUACUCACAGAAGAAGUCCUGGCUAACUCCGUGCCAGCAGCCGCGGUAAUACGGAGAGGGCUAGCGUUAUUCGGAAUUAUUGGGCGUAAAGAGCGCGUAGGCUGAUUAGUAAGUUAAAAGUGAAAUCCCAAAGCUUAACUUUGGAAUUGCUUUUUAAAACUGCUAGUCUAGAGAUUUGAAAGAGGAUAGAGGAAUUCCUAGUGUAGAGGUGAAAUUCGUAAAUAUUAGGAGGAACACCAGUGGCGAAGGCGUCUAUCUGGUUCAAAUCUGCGCUGAGGCGCGAAGGGCGUGGGGAGCGAAACAGGGAUUAGAUACC
rnacentral:rRNA from 1 species